CUGGCGGCGUGCUUAACACAUGCAAGUCGAACGCGAAAGGGGACUUCGGUCCUGAGUAAAGUGGCGCACGGGUGAGUAACGCGUAGAUAACCUGUCUUCAUGUCUGGAAUAAUACGCCAAAGGGGUACUAAUACCGGAUAUUCUUGCUUUUCAUAAGUUAUGCAAGCAAAGGUGGCCUCUGCAUAUGCUACUGCAUGAAGAGGGGUCUGCGUACCAUUAGCUAGUAGGUGGGGUAAUGGCCUACCUAGGCGACGAUGGUUAGCGGGUCUGAGAGGAUGAUCCGCCACACUGGCACUGGAACACGGGCCAGACUCCUACGGGAGGCAGCAGUGAGGAAUAUUGCGCAAUGGGGGAAACCCUGACGCAGCGACGCCGCGUGAAGUGAGGAAGGCCUUCGGGUCGUAAAGCUCUGUCAAGAGGAAAGAAGUGUACAAUGGCUAAUACCUGUUGUAUUUGACGGUACCUCUAAAGGAAGCACCGGCUAACUCCGUGCCAGCAGCCGC
rnacentral:rRNA from 1 species